rfam:Arabidopsis lyrata subsp. lyrata unplaced genomic scaffold ARALYscaffold_3, whole genome shotgun sequence.
GUUGCGAUGAUGAUAAAAUAGCACGAAGGUGCGUGAAGGGCAGUGGACAAAACAAUGUUUUGCCGUGAGCUCUCUUAAUUAAACGACUUCUCCUUCCACUGAGCAUA